AGAAGCUCAGAAGAGGUCUGCUGCCUGCCAAGUGCCCAUGACUCAAGUUGUUGCAGUAUUGUUCCCCUCAAACCUGUGGAGACAGGAUUUCUUAAACAUGGCCAUGGCCCUCUAGAAAGAAGCCGAGACCAGAGACUGCAGAUGUUCAUUCCUGUUCCAGCAAAGAUAGGCCAGCCUUAACCAGCUGGGUUUCCGCUUGAGUCAGCCUAUGCCACAAGCACUUGUUCCUACAGGGUCCUUGAAAAGGUUCUCUGGAGCACAAGUGUAACUUGGUGCCACCACCUUUCUCCUGCAGUUUGUCUACCUACUCUGCUAACCAGCAGCAAGUUUAUCCUUGCAAGGCAUGUGGGAUCAAGAAUAACUUUCACCAGGAAAAAGUGCAAGACGAGUGGUUGAACAAAAUAAAAUUGUUUGUGUGUUGUAAAGAACUUGACA